rnacentral:rRNA from 1 species
CACGUAGUUAGCCAUGGCUUUCUAAUAAGGUACCGUCAAGGUACGUUCAUUUCCUAACGUACUUGUUCUUCCCUUACAACAGAGUUUUACGAUCCGAAAACCUUCAUCACUCACGCGGCGUUGCUCCAUCAGACUUUCGUCCAUUGUGGAAGAUUCCCUACUGCUGCCUCCCGUAGGAGUUUGGGCCGUGUCUCAGUCCCAAUGUGGCCGAUCACCCUCUCAGGUCGGCUAUGCAUCGUUGCCUUGGUAGGCCGUUACCCCACCAACUAGCUAAUGCACCGCGGGCCCAUCCUACAGUGACGCCGAAGCGCCUUUCAACUUCAAAACAUGUGAUUCGAAGGAUUAUUCGGUAUUAGCCCAGGUUUCCCUGAGUUAUCCCAAUCUGUAGGGCAGGUUGCCCACGUGUUACUCACCCGUCCGCCGCUAAUCAGAGAAGCAAGCUUCUCGUCAUUCGCUCGACUUGCAUGUAUGGCACGCCGCAGCGUCGUC